GUGGGGAAUAUUGGACAAUGGGCGAAAGCCUGAUCCAGCCAUGCCGCGUGUGUGAAGAAGGUCUUCGGAUUGUAAAGCACUUUAAGUUGGGAGGAAGGGCAGUAAGCUAAUACCUUGCUGUUUUGACGUUACCGACAGAAUAAGCACCGGCUAACUUCGUGCCAGCAGCCGCGGUAAUACGAAGGGUGCAAGCGUUAAUCGGAAUUACUGGGCGUAAAGCGCGCGUAGGUGGUUCAGCAAGUUGGAGGUGAAAUCCCCGGGCUCAACCUGGGAACUGCCUCCAAAACUACUGAGCUAGAGUACGGUAGAGGGUAGUGGAAUUUCCUGUGUAGCGGUGAAAUGCGUAGAUAUAGGAAGGAACACCAGUGGCGAAGGCGACUACCUGGACUGAUACUGACACUGAGGUGCGAAAGCGUGGGGAGCAAACAGGAUUAGAUACCCUUGUAGUCC
rnacentral:rRNA from 1 species